ACGGGGGGGGGUUUGUCUAGUAUAAGCAUUAUACCGCGAAACUGCGAAUGGCUCAUUAUAUAAGUUAUCGUUUAUUUGAUAGUACCUUACUACUUGGAUAACCGUGGUAAUUCUAGAGCUAAUACAUGCUAAAAAUCCCGACUUCGGAAGGGAUGUAUUUAUUAGAUUAAAAACCAAUGCCCUUCGGGGCUCACUGGUGAUUCAUGAUAACUCCUCGAAUCGCAUGGCCUUGUGCCGGCGAUGGUUCAUUCAAAUUUCUUCCCUAUCAACUUUCGAUGUUUGGGUAUUGGCCAAACAUGGUUGCAACGGGUAACGGAGGGUUAGGGCUCGACCCCGGAGAAGGAGCCUGAGAAACGGCUACUACAUCCAAGGAAGGCAGCAGGCGCGCAAAUUACCCAAUCCCGACACGGGGAGGUAGUGACAAUAAAUACUGAUACAGGGCUCUUUUGGGUCUUGUAAUUGGAAUGAGUACAAUUUAAAUCCCUUAACGAGGAACAAUUGGAGGGCAAGUCUGGUGCCAGCAGCCGCGGUAAUUCCAGCUCCAAUAGCGUAUAUUAAAGUUGUUGUGGUUAAAAAGCUCGUAGUUGAACCUUGGGCCUGGCUGGCCGGUCCGCCUCACCGCGUGUACUGGUCCGGCCGGGCCUUUCCCUCUGUGGAACCCCAUGCCCUUCACUGGGUGUGGCGGGGAAACAGGACUUUUACUGUGAAAAAAUUAGAGUGCUCCAGGCAGGCCUAUGCUCGAAUACAUUAGCAUGGAAUAAUAGAAUAGGACGUGUGGUUCUAUUUUGUUGGUUUCUAGGACCGCCGUAAUGAUUAAUAGGGACAGUCGGGGGCAUCAGUAUUCAAUUGUCAGAGGUGAAAUUCUUGGAUUUAUUGAAGACUAACUACUGCGAAAGCAUUUGCCAAGGAUGUUUUCAUUAAUCAGGAACGAAAGUUAGGGGAUCGAAGACGAUCAGAUACCGUCGUAGUCUUAACCAUAAACUAUGCCGACUAGGGAUCGGACGGUGUUAUUUUUUGACCCGUUCGGCACCUUACGAGAAAUCAAAGUGCUUGGGGCUCCAGGGGGGAGUAUGGUCGCCAGGGCUGAAACUUAAAGAAAUUGACGGAAGGGCACCACCCAGGGGGUGGAGCCUGGCGGCUUUAUUUUGACUCAACACGGGGGAAACUCACCCGGUCCAGAACACAAUGGAGGAAUUGACCGAAUUGAAGACCUCUUUUCUUGAUUUUUGGGGGGUGGGGGGGGCAUGGGCCGUUCUUAAUUUGGGGGGAAGGAAUUUGUCUGGCUU
rnacentral:rRNA from 1 species